rnacentral:lncRNA from 1 species
GAAAGGGCCCCUUCUGCAGACGGUCUCUCACCAUUGCCGACCACGGAAUCCCAGAACCGCUGAGCUGCCUCGGGAAGAACCAGCAGGUGUCUGCAUCGUUGAGUGUGUUCUGAUCCAAAGGAUAAAGAUAAAGUUUCUCUAACCAAGACCCCAAAACUGGAGCGUGGCGAUGGCGGGAAGGAGGUGAGGGAGCGAGCCAGCAAGCGGAAGCUGCCCUUCACCGCGGGCGCCAAUGGGGAGCAGAAGGACUCGGACACAGAGAAGCAGGGCCCUGAGCGGAAGAGGAUUAAGAAGGAGCCUGUCACCCGGAAGGCCGGGCUGCUGUUUGGCAUGGGGCUGUCUGGAAUCCGAGCCGGCUACCCCCUCUCCGAGCGCCAGCAGGUGGCCCUUCUCAUGCAGAUGACGGCCGAGGAGUCUGCCAACAGCCCAGGUGAGCCCGGCCUGUGGGUGGUCCCUGGCGCAGGGAAGGGG